rnacentral:tRNA from 2 species
GCCGGAGUGGCGGAAUGGCAGACGCGCUGGAUUCAAAAUCCAGUAGCCGCAAGGCUGUGUGGGUUCAAGUCCCACCUCCGGUA